rnacentral:tRNA from 1 species
GGUAGCGUGUCCGAGCGGCCGAAGGUGUUCGCCUCGAAAGCGAAUGUUGGGUAAGCCCCAACCGCGGGUUCAAAUCCCGCCGCUACCGCCA